GUAAUGUCUGGGAAACUGCCUGAUGGAGGGGGAUAACUACUGGAAACGGUGGCUAAUACCGCAUAACGUCGCAAGACCAAAGAGGGGGACCUUCGGGCCUCUUGCCAUCAGAUGUGCCCAGAUGGGAUUAGCUAGUUGGUGAGGUAACGGCUCACCAAGGCGACGAUCCCUAGCUGGUCUGAGAGGAUGACCAGCCACACUGGAACUGAGACACGGUCCAGACUCCUACGGGAGGCAGCAGUGGGGAAUAUUGCACAAUGGGCGCAAGCCUGAUGCAGCCAUGCCGCGUGUAUGAAGAAGGCCUUCGGGUUGUAAAGUACUUUCAGCGGGGAGGAAGGUGUUGUGGUUAAUAACCGCAGCAAUUGACGUUACCCGCAGAAGAAGCACCGGCUAACUCCGUGCCAGCAGCCGCGGUAAUACGGAGGGUGCAAGCGUUAAUCGGAAUUACUGGGCGUAAAGCGCACGCAGGCGGUCUGUCAAGUCGGAUGUGAAAUCCCCGGGCUCAACCUGGGAACUGCAUUCGAAACUGGCAGGCUUGAGUCUUGUAGAGGGGGGUAGAAUUCCAGGUGUAGCGGUGAAAUGCGUAGAGAUCUGGAGGAAUACCGGUGGCGAAGGCGGCCCCCUGGACAAAGACUGACGCUCAGGUGCGAAAGCGUGGGGAGCAAACAGGAUUAGAUACCCUGGUAGUCCACGCCGUAAACGAUGUCUACUUGGAGGUUGUGCCCUUGAGGCGUGGCUUCCGGAGCUAACGCGUUAAGUAGACCGCCUGGGGAGUACGGCCGCAAGGUUAAAACUCAAAUGAAUUGACGGGGGCCCGCACAAGCGGUGGAGCAUGUGGUUUAAUUCGAUGCAACGCGAAGAACCUUACCUGGUCUUGACAUCCACGGAAGUUUUCAGAGAUGAGAAUGUGCCUUCGGGAACCGUGAGACAGGUGCUGCAUGGCUGUCGUCAGCUCGUGUUGUGAAAUGUUGGGUUAAGUCCCGCAACGAGCGCAACCCUUAUCCUUUGUUGCCAGCGGUCCGGCCGGGAACUCAAAGGAGACUGCCAGUGAUAAACUGGAGGAAGGUGGGGAUGACGUCAAGUCAUCAUGGCCCUUACGACCAGGGCUACACACGUGCUACAAUGGCGCAUACAAAGAGAAGCGACCUCGCGAGAGCAAGCGGACCUCAUAAAGUGCGUCGUAGUCCGGAUUGGAGUCUGCAACUCGACUCCAUGAAGUCGGAAUCGCUAGUAAUCGUGGAUCAGAAUGCCACGGUGAAUACGUUCCCGGGCCUUGUACACACCGCCCGUCACACCAUGGGAGUGGGUUGCAAAAGAAGUAGGUAGCUUAACCUUCGGGAGGGCGCUUACCACUUUGUGAUUCAUGACUGGGGUGAAGUCGUAACAAGGUAACCGUAGGGGAACCUGC
rnacentral:rRNA from 1 species